CUUGCUUCUUCUCACUCACGGCUGGUGUAUUUUUUCUAUCUCCAACUGGUCUCAGAGGUAGAUACUGCAGUGACAGCACUGAGAGCAGAUCUGGUGUAUACAAAGACAACACAUGUUCCUGGUGUUUGUGAUGACAUUUCGCUGGCUUUGCCUGUGUCAUAUGAUGCUUCUGAAGAAGACUUGAUGAGUGCAAUAGAGAGAGAAUUUGGAUAGCAUAAUAAUGAGGCAGUUUAUCUUGGAUGCAAAUUUGUAAAGCAAAUACUUGCUUUACAAAACCCAAACAGUAUCUUAAUGCAAAAAAUACAGAUGUCUGUUUUAUAUAAAUCCUGCUCUCUGUAAAUUCUGGCUUUAAAUAUGUCUUUCUAUUUGCCAAAAUGCUUGUUAUGUACUUGUAUUGUACUGUGUUGUGUUGUAUUGUAUUAUAUUGUGUUGUACUUUUUUUCCACUUGCAUGCAAAGCCUUCAAUCAGAUGAAUUCUUUUUGAUAUGCAUUACACAGGAGAUAGAAUUCAGUAUUUCCAUGGCCACAAAAUAAUUUCAGGGGGAAAAAUGUGCGUGUCUGGAAUGUAUGUUUAAGUACCAUUUCCUGGCCGCAGUUUAUGUGGAGCUCUCCACCCCUCAGUAGUGGAAUGCACAUUGACAUGGUUUGGGAUGUAGUUCCUAAAUGAAGGCCCCUUUUCUCCAUCGCAACUGCACUGUGAUGUGAAUCACACAUUGAUACCAAAAACCCACAGAUGUGGUUAUGGGUAGGAAUAAAUCAUCCAAGCGAAUCUUCAUAGUGGAGCUUCAGUUUGAAUUAUGCUCACUAGUAUAGUUUAUAGUUUGUUUUUGUUGCUGGUAGAUGAAAUUACAUUUUAUUUAAUCUUUGAUGGAUCCUCUAAUGAUAGCCUUUAAACAGGUAUUUUGAUUAUUCAGUUUAUACAGUAAGUAAGACUUACUGUAAUGUUUAGUUACAUAUGUCAAAUUGAUAUUAUAUAAAUGCAUAAAAGCAGUUUACUCACCCGCAUACUCUCUCAGACAUGCGCUCAGGUCAGGACUGUAGAUUAAGAAUGCAACAUACAGUAUAGCUUUCUUUCUUUCUUUAUUGAUUUGAUCUCAAUAGGACAGUUCCAGUUCAAACUGAAGAAGAUAUAUUUUGCUGCUUUAUUCAGAAGGAUUUUGCUGCUCACUUAGCUGGUCGAAGAGAAUCUAUGUAUGUAUGUAUUUUUACUUCUUAUUUUUCAAACAUUGUUAUAUGUAGUGCCCUAGUGUUUAGAGCAUACGGUUAGCUUUGUAUUUCUGGAGAUUGUAUUUAGACUUUAAACGUCAUAAACGUUGUGUUUGUUUGUGAAAAUUGUCUUGAUGGACAAAACAUGUUAGUGUUGUACAUUUUUGUUGAUUACAUAGACUUGCACCCCGUCCAGGGUGUCCCCCGCCUUGUGCCCCAUGCCUCUUGGGAUAGGCUCCAGAUUCCC
ensembl:lncRNA